AUAAAGACAGAGGAACAAAUACCAGACCAGCAAACUUACCUGAAUCCAGCUGCCCUCAGAGUAUGGCUGAGGCUUGGUCAAAGCCCAGAACUUAGCAAGGGUUAGAGGACAUCAUGGGACCAUAUUCCCAGUCACUCCAGGAGAACCCCGUUUUCUACACCUACACCAUCCUAUAUUUCCAGGAUCUUACCAGCAACCCCAAGAAGAAGGGAAGGGCAUGAAAUUUUGAAUUGAGUGACUGAAACCGGCAUGACUGCAUAAACACUGAAGUUUGAGAAACAAUUCCACAACCGCUCUUCUCCCAUCAAGCUAAUACAUUUUGAGGAAAAACUCAAGAUUUCAAGAAAUAGGCUCUCGGACACAAUUCUGUGGGGGAGGUAAGAAGUCUGUGGCA
rnacentral:lncRNA from 1 species